ACAAAAGUCUUGUUUAGGCAUAAUUUUGAUUAUGUGAUGUUACUAGGGUAAUUUUAAAAAUUGCUAUUAAUCCUUUUUUAACCGACUUCAAAAAAGGAGGAUGUAUAUAUGUUACUGGAUAUCUCCGAGAAUCGUGAACUGAUUUUUAAUCAUUUUUUUUAAUCGAACGGGUAUAAUCCCGAGAUGGUCCCGUUGGCACCAAGUCGGGGUCUGAUGAUGGGAUCUUGGAGAAAUCGAGGGAACUCUUCAAAUGUUAUAGGUACAUGUAUGGCGCUAUUGGUAAUAUUUGAAGUCGGUUUUAUUUUUUGUAAAAAGUUUUAUUUAUACUCUUUUUUUUGACGUACUGUUAACGUGUACAUGUUAUGUUAUGUUGUGUCGUAUGUACAAUAUAUGUUACCGGGUUUUAGUGGUUUAGUUUGAUAAUGAUCGAGUGUAUUUGUUGGCAGAUGUUUGACCUGCAGUGCGGGCGGCUGCUGACGCGGCGGCUGCCGGCGGCGCUGGCGGCGCUCGGCCCGCGGCGGCGCCUCACGCUGCGGCUGUGGUGCGCCGAGCUCGAGUACGAGCUGUACACGAUCACAGAGACUUACCCGGACAUUGUGCUGGACUUCAGCCUGGCUCUGUUUCAAAUACACAACUAUUAAUUUGUUAUUAUUUUGUUAUUUUGUUAAGCAUGUAUUUUUGUUGAUUUGUUAAGCGUUAAUCUAAUAUGUAUCUAAAAGCUAAUUCAAUAGAAAUUGCAAAAAGUCAAAGAGCCAAUCUACACAGGUAAUUGAGGUCAACGUGGCGAAGACCGUCUAUCAGGUAAAACCGUCUACAAGCUCUUUUGAUGCUUUAAAGUACGGACCAAUUUACCAUUUAUACAUUUACAUAUGGAGUGUGGAUUAAAAGGAGUGCAAUCUCUUAUGGUAGAACUGUUGCAAAAGUGUCCAGCUGUCAGCUCUAUAAAUAAUAGUUCCAAAUACCUCCAGAGUAGCGCUAGAGUAGCUAAGAACCUAGGCGUUAUUGACGGAGUGAAGUGCGCUGUCUAUGAUUUGAUUUUUUGUUCAAGUACUCUAGGUAUUGUAGCGCCACCUAUUUAAGGUUUUUUGAUGACACUUUUUGGUAUAUGGAGAUUUCUUUCCUUACCUCCACCUUCCAUACAUUUACACCUUGGAUUGAUGACAUGUGUCAAUUACUUUUUUCUAGUAUAAUAAUAAUCGUAUUAUAUUAUAUGUUAACCUUUUGUUAUUUCGAUUGAGUUCCAUUUUAAUUAAAAAAUUUAAUUCUAUCAAAGAUUAAACACAGAACCCUGUGAGCCUAAAGUGAUUUUUUUUGUAAUAAACGUACUUGGUAAAUUUUUGAUUCGUUUUUCUUUGUUGACUGUACUUUCGGUAUUACAAGGGCAUCGUCUCCAGUUUAUGCAAUACGUUGUAUAAACUUGUAGGAAACAGGAGCUAGCAAGAAAUUAUUCGUCAAAGGUUUAAAAUACUCCCACGUUCCGUUAGUAGGUACUCCGCUUUACUUCGUAGCUUUUUAUUUUCACGAAAUGAACGAAGGUUUGAAAUAAGUUUUGGGGCUAACCUUCUGGCACACAUUGAAAGUUUUCAGCGCGUGUUCCAUAUAAUUGCGGUUCUGGCGAUAAAACCAAAUUAUUGUGCUGGCUGACCAUAAAUACUUUUUAUCGUCCAAAUCGUAUCGCAAUAGAGACGCGGCUCCGACAUUCGGUGUUACCUAAAUACACUUUACUGCCAAUUCUGUCCAUCAGAAUACGUAACUAGCUAAAAAUAAUUACCAACCAAGGCGUAGUUCAGUCGAACAGGCACUUUCGAUUGUAUGGGUUAUUCCCACCUGUUACCACCAAGUUGUUACUACUGGUAAAUACUAAAAAAUAUUUUUCCCAGUAGUUAGCA